GACGAACGCUGGCGGCGUGCUGAACACAUGCAAGUCGAACGGUGAAGCGCCUUCCUUUUUGGUGGGUGUGGAUGAGUGGCGAACGGGUGAGUAACACGUGAGUAACCUGCCCCCUUCUUCUGGAUAACCGCAUGAAAGUGUGGCUAAUACGGGAUAUUCUGGGUCUGUCGCAUGAUGGGUCUGGGAAAGAUAUUGUUUCGGUGGGGGAUGGGCUCGCGGCCUAUCAGCUUGUUGGUGGGGUGAUGGCCUACCAAGGCGGUGACGGGUAGCCGGCCUGAGAGGGUGGACGGUCACACUGGGACUGAGACACGGCCCAGACUCCUACGGGAGGCAGCAGUGGGGAAUAUUGCACAAUGGGCGCAAGCCUGAUGCAGCGACGCCGCGUGAGGGAUGGAGGCCUUCGGGUUGUGAACCUCUUUCGCCAGUGAAGCAGGCCUGCCUCGUUUGUGGGUGGGUUGACGGUAGCUGGAUAAGAAGCGCCGGCUAACUACGUG
rnacentral:rRNA from 1 species